AGCAGCCGCGGUAAUUCCAGCUCCAAUAGCGUAUAUUAAAGUUGUUGCAGUUAAAAAGCUCGUAGUUGAAUUUCGGGGUUAGUAGGUUGGUCAUGCCUCUGGUACGUACUGGUCUCACUGAUUCCUCCUUCCUGAUGAGACGUAAUGCCAUUAAUUUGGUGUCUUGGGGAAUCAGGACUGUUACUUUGAAAAAUUAGAGUGUUUAAAGCAGGCUCACGCUUGAAUACAUUAGCAUGGAAUAAUGAAAUAGGACGUUUGAUUCUAUUUUGUUGGUUUCUAGGAUCGACGUAAUGAUUAAUAGGGAUAGUUGGGGGCAUUAGUAUUCAAUUGUCAGAGGUGAAAUUCUUGGAUUUAUUGAAGACUAACUACUGCGAAAGCAUUUGCCAAGGAUGUUUUCAUUAAUCAAGAACGAAAGUUAGGGGAUCGAAGACGAUCAGAUACCGUCGUAGUCUUAACCAUAAACU
rnacentral:misc_RNA from 1 species